UGUACCCUGUAGAACCGAAUUUGU
rnacentral:ncRNA from 2 species